GAUUCCUGCAGCCUGGACUUACACACAUCAUGGUGACAACACCAAUACCAGGGAAGGCAGAAACGAGAGAAUCUUUUUUGGGGGAAAAGGAGAGGACAGAGGAGGUGUGUUUUACGUGGAACAUAGUUUUAAAUACUAGAGAGACAUCCCAUGGAGAAACCCAAGUCGUUGGAAAUGUGGGUCUAAAACUUGGAGGUGAAUUUGGGUUUGAAGAAGUAGAUUUUGGAGUCAUUUCUGUAACUAUAAUAUUUAACACAGUGCCAUUGCCUAGAGAAAAGAGGUAAACAGAGCCUAGAAAAGGCCUUCUGUAAGGGACUGGCGGUGGGUAAAGGGGACUGAGACAACCAACUUGUAUUGAGGGCUCUGGCCCCAAGAUGGCAAGGCAGUUUGCAUACAUUAUAUGUUGACUGCAAAGGAGGUAAGCAUUGAAUAAGGAAUAAACAUUUGUCUUUCAAGAAGUUUUCCAGAAGAGGCAACACAGCAUAGUGGUGGUUAAAGGUGUGGUCUCUAAAGUAAGAGAGACCUGAGUUUGAAUACCCAUAGUGUGGCUUUAGGCAACUUACUUAGCUCUUUGACUCUUUCGGAGCCUGAGGCCAUGAUGUCCACAUCCUACACUGCAGGGUUGUUCUGAGGCUUCAGUGAGAAACUGUGUGUAAAGGGGCGGGCUCCAUAGUCAGCUCUCAGUAAGUGUUGGCUGUUGUUUCGGUAAAAUAAAGAGAUAACGUGGUAGCUUAAAAUAAUAACAAAUGAACAGAUUUUAUGGCUGUUAUUUAAAAAUAAGGGAAAUUUGAGCAUUUUUAUAGGGGAUUAUUUGCAAUGGGAGGAUAAACUUCAGCUAAAUAAGAUCUUUCAAGAUUAAACAAGUUUUUCUCGUUUUUGCAAUUAUUAUGCAAUUUGAAUAAGAUCAACUAUAGUUUGGUCUUUUAGUUCAGUGGUUCUUAUUCCCUCUUUAAAAAAGUUAGAAAUCCCCUUAAUGUAAACAAUGGCUGUUCUCUGCAAAAAAAAAAAAAAAAUGCAUAUAAACAUGCUAAAGAAUGCAUCCAGGGGCUGGCCCCGGGGCUGAGUGGUUAAGUUCGCGCGCUCCGCUGCAGGCGGCCCAGUGUUUUGUUGGUUCAAAUCCUGGGCGCGGACAUGGCACUGCUCGGCAAGCCACGCUGAGGCAGCGUCCCACAUGCCACAACUAGAAGGACCCACAAUGAAGAAUAUGCAACUAUGUAGCGGGGGGCUUUGGGGAGAAAAAGGGAAAAAAUAAAAUCUUUAAAAAGAAUGCAUCCAAAAUUUGGAAAUAAAGCAAAAGGACAAGUGGGCCAUUUCAAAGUUUUCUAGAACAGCAUCUAACAAGCCUGACUUUGGGGAUACAGCUUUGUCUGACUUACUAUUUACUAUUGAUUAGGGCCUAAAAGCUAUAAAGUUACAUCUUAACUUGCAGAAAAUUGAUAAAAUGGAAGUGAUUUUUGUCCAGUUGAGAUGCAAAUGAUUUCUCUCCAAAAGAGAAGAUAAUCUGAAAGGUUAUGCUCUGAUUGGCGUGCAGUACACUCACCAGCUUUGAAUCUAAUUUACCAAUCAUAUUCCAGCAUUCUUUCUUUUACUGACAUGAGUCUCUUAUAUCUUUCUUUGAACUGCUUUUGCCACCUUGCCGGUUCCCUCAUUAAUAAGUCCACAGGCAGUUGGGAAAAGAAGAUGGAUGUGAAGGAGAGCAAGCAAAGACAAGCUGGAUGAAGGAGAAGCUGGUGUCUUCCAUCACGGAGCUGAAUACGCAUCUGGUCCAGGACUCAGGGAAGCUGAUCCAGCAGGAGGAUCUGGCAGGGGCCCAGCUGCUGCCCCAAGCCAACAAGUCCCGGGAGAUGCUCAGCGGAUACAAUCUUUCUACAGAGCGAAGUCUGAAUGGGGGCCGGAGGGAGAACGAGGAUGGACAGGACGUCCCAGAAAGCCAUCGGCGCCAGGGCCAUGCCUCGCACCUGACCUGCACAGCAGGUGGCCCAGAGCUCAAGUCAAGCAGCGGCCAGUCCCGAGUCCCGCCCUCUGAGAGGGCGCAGGCCCGGACAACGCUGGCUCAAAUACGUGAUAAACAUCGCUCGUCGACUAUACACUCAACAACCAAAAUAAGUCUCUGUAUGGACUGAAAUAGAAAUGCAAGUAUAUUGAGUGCUGAAAAUAAAGCAAGAUGUUUCUGUUGGAGUGGAUCAAUGGAAGGAAGAACUCUCCUUUAAAAGAUCUCUUGAACAUAGAUGGAGGAAUGAUGAGUCGUGUUUAAUUAUUUAAGUAUGGAAUUCACCCAAAGGGCACUUGAUGCUUCUGGUCUAUUGGGAGAUACUGGAUGUGAAAGACAGCAAAAUCCCGGAGGAUGAAAAGAAAGAAGAAGAGAGAAGAGACAGAUGGAGGCUUUUUCCGGCAAAGGGAACAGCACGUGAAAGCCACAAAGGAUCAACUUGACUUUAUAUCUGAGCCAAAAGUCAUUCAGAGUGAGGAACUGGAAAGGCCAGAUGAAGAAAAGUGUGUGGAAAGUAAACAAUGCAGUGAUCGGAGGCGUGUGUGCACUUUCCUUGGACUUUAGAUGGAAGAGGGUCAACAUGCCCUUUGUUUCCGUCUGUGUGAUUGACUCGCUCUGCGCCAUGCUUGCUAACUGAGACCUUCCUUCAGCUCUUCAGCUGAGCUGUGAGUGGCUUUGAGGGUUGGGAGGUCUCCCACUGAGGGGUCAGGGGUCGGGUCCUGUAUACUUUUUGAAGAGCAGGGGCAUUUGAGCAAAACAAAACUGGAGUUAAUCCCUGCUUUCCUAUUAGAAAAGUUGUGUUCUUUCUCUAUGCCUGUUUCCCCAUUUGUUAAAAAGUGAUAAUGGUAAUACAACUUAGUGAGGCUGUUGUGAAGAAUAAAUAAGAAAUUUGACAUAAAGAGCAAGCUGACAUUUACUAAGUUCUCAAUAAAUGUUGAUAAAUAUCUAAUUGAUCCACUACAACUCACAUAGGCUAGGAGUUUUUGUCUUUGCCUAAACAUUCUCGUGGCUUUUAUGCAAGCUUUUCUUUGUCCUGGUCUCCAAGUGGCAUGCUAACGGCAACUUUUACUGGCUCGCAAGAGCCGAUUAUUAAAUUUUUAGGAAUUUUGAGCUCUGGUUGUUAAAUACUGCCAAUAUUUAAAAAUAGAUGAAAAGAAACAUAUAAUUAAAUAAUUAUAUUUAAAACAAAGUUGAUAAAUACUCAAAACUCAUCACUUCCUAAUUAGUUCACUGGAUUUUACUAUUAUCUAUACUCUUGAGGUUAUGUCUAUUUUUAUCUGUGUGGUGAAAACAUGUGCCUCGCUUCCAAACUUGUGUUCAGUGACAUCCCUCUUGUGGCUUGAAAAGAGCCAAGUGGCUUGAAAACAGACAUCCCUCUAAGUGGCUUCUGUAGACCAUUGCUCCACAGAAAUACGCGAAUACUAAAUUCAAGACUUUUCCCAAAGAGCCAAUUAUUAAACACUUAUCAUAAUUUCGUGUUUAUUAAUUCUACACAUGGAAAAAUCGGAUUAAUUUUAUGUGAGAAUGUACAAAAAUUUAUUCUGAUAAGCUUUUUAUGCUGUGCAGGAGCCAACUCUAAAUGAGUCAAAUAAACUACAUAUUCUAGUGUAAUUCCUUCAUGAAUUAAAAAAGUGCAAACAACAAAAUUUCCAUUUUUAGUGAAAAUGAAAUUUCUGUAAAACAUGCCACUUAAUAAACUUCUAAAUGAAUGUGCAUUCAUCAAACAUUUUGAUUUUAACUGGCUAUUUUUGAAGUAUCUGAAAGUUUACCUAUUCUUGAUUUGGGGAAAUUGCUGAAAAUCAUAAAAUUAUUAUUUGUCUCCAAGUAUGUAGAGAUAUAGUUUUAAAUAAAAAUAUUAAUAUGUAACUGUGCAUCAAUGCUGCUUUGUUUUUAAAAUAAAAAGUCAUUCAACCCGGUGCCUGGCACAGAUUGGAAAUGAAGUGAAAUAGAGGAAAGAGCAUGAGAUUUACAUCUGGAAGAUUUGGGUUCAAGUCCUGCUCAUCGUUUGUGUGCUGUGACCUCCAGGCAGCAGUCAGUUAACUAUCGGUAACGUUAGUGUGUCAUGGGUAUGUUAACAUCCAUGGGGUGUUUGGCAUUCGGUAUGUUUGGCAUAUAUGAGGGAGUUUGGCAUACAGUAGAUUUUCCCAUACAUGCUAAUCUACUGUGAUGUCGUUAAUAUUUAUGGAUUAAAUAAAUCGAGAUCAACUGAUUACUUAAAAGCCUCAGUAUAUGCAAGGGAAGAAAUUCAGAAGACCACACUUUUUGGGGA
rnacentral:lncRNA from 1 species